rnacentral:rRNA from 1 species
AGCGAACGCUGGCGGCGUGCUUAACACAUGCAAGUCGAACGUGAAAUGUAGCAAUACAGAGUAAAGUGGCGUACGGGUGAGUAACACGUGGGUAAUCUACCAAAGAGCCUGGAAUAACCGACCGAAAGGUUGGCUAAUACUGGAUAGUUCAAAUGAAAUAUAAUGUUUCGAUUGGGAAAGGGAGCGAGCAAUCGCCUUCACUUUUUGAUGAGCCCGCGUCUGAUUAGCUAGUUGGUAGGGUAAUGGCCUACCAAGGCGACGAUCAGUAGCUGGUCUGAGAGGAUGAUCAGCCACACUGGAACUGAAACACGGUCCAGACUCCUACGGGAGGCAGCAGUGGGGAAUCUUGCGCAAUGGACGAAAGUCUGACGCAGCCACGCCGCGUGAGUGAAGAAGGCCUUCGGGUUGUAAAGCUCUGUCGGAAGGGACAAAAACGUUUAAGGUUAAUAGCCUUAGAUCUUGAUGGUACCUUCAAAGGAAGCACCGGCUAAACUCGUGCCAGCCGCCGCCGUAA